UACGGAGGGGGCAAGUGUUGUUCGGAAUCACUGGGCGUAAAGGGCGCGCAGGCGGCUGGGCAAGUCGAGUGUGAAAGCCCUCAGCUUAACUGAGGAAUGGCGCUCGAAACUACCAGGCUGGAGGGCGGGAGAGGGAAGUGGAACUCUCGGUGUAGGGGUGAAAUCUGUAGAUAUCGAGAGGAACACCGGUGGCGAAGGCGGCUUCCUGGCCCGUACCUGACGCUGAGGCGCGAAAGCGUGGGGAGCAAACAGGAUUAGAUACCCCCGUAGUCC
rnacentral:rRNA from 1 species